ensembl:lncRNA OIP5-AS1 OIP5 antisense RNA 1
AGGGUUGGCCACCUUGAGAAGCUGCGAAGAUGGCGGAGUAAGGCGUGCCGCUGCAAACUGGCCUCUGGGCCGGGGGCGAGCAGCCCCCGGGAGGCCGAGUGCAUCUGUUGGACCGUGCGAGGAGAAGAAAAAAAAUAUCGGCCAGAGGAGAGGAACUAACCGAACAUUCUUCCUCCCUACCUUAUAGAGGGGAGUGGUCAUCUACACUAAAGCAAAGUGUUAGGCGCGUCCGUGCGAAGAGACCACCAAACAGGCUUUGUGUUCCUUAUCACAGGAAGAAAAUUUUCCUUGACCUUUAGGUGCUUUUAUAUUCAUCUCAAAAACAAAAUUCUGAACUCAGGACUUGGCAAGGUCUCACUGUCGCCCAGGCUGGAGUGUAGUGGCACAGUUUCAGCUCACUACAACUUCACCUCCUGGGCUCAAGCGAUUCUCCCACUUCAGCCUCCUGGGUAGUCGGGACUACAGGCACAUGCCACCGCACUUGCUAAUUUUUUCAGUUUUUGUAGAGACAGAAUGUCAGUAUAUUGCCAGGCUAGUCUCGAACUCGUGAGCUCAAGCAGUCUUUCCCCGCCUCAGCCUCCCAAAGUGCUGGGAUCAUAGGUGUGAGCCACUGUGCCCAGACAGCCAUCCUCAAAUGGUCUCUCUCUGUUGCCCAGGCUGGAGUGAUGCGUGAUUUCUGCUCACUGCAGUCUCUCCCACCCGGGUUCAAGCGAUUCUCCUGCCUCAGCCUCCCAAGUAGCUAGGAUUACAGGCGCGCACCACCACGCUCAGCCUGAUUUCUAGGCUGAAAAGGCUGGGACUCAGGUACUUUCCCCAGUUGGGACUGAACUUUCUCAUCAGAGAAUGGGCCUCAGAAGCAAUGUUCCCAAACUUGUGGUUGGGUCAUCGUGGAAAAGAAACCUCAAAUAAGAAAAAUAAUUACAAUAAGAAAUGGAUUUUCUUUUUUCCCACAACAGUUAUACAUUAUAAAGAACAGACUGUCGUAGAAAACUGUCUUUGCUUCCAAAUCAGCAGAGGACCAUUGUAUGUAUUGUCAGGUCUUUAUAUAAGAGUGAAACCUUUAUUUAUGCUUCUUGUGAGUAGAGAAUAAAUUUUAAAACUAAUUAGAUGAAAUUAAGAACAGAGUAUUGGAACAUCUCUGUGUUUUCCGGAAUGUUUACUCAGGUCCAUGAAUGCUGUGAUGCUGGGAACUUAGGGAAGAUUCACCAAAAUUUGAGAGUGAUAAAAAUGGCCUAAAAUGGGAAAUGGUGAGCACUCUUAUUAUUAGUGAGAUUGGUCAAUCAGCCCAUUUGAAAUGGGUAAAAAAUACUUUCAGUAAAAUAAUUACAUAUUAUAUAUAAAAUAUUUCUUUUUUUGAGGGCAGCUACUGAGUGAUAAAAGCAUAGUAGAAAUCACUUUGGUUAAAAGUAACUCAAAUUUUUCUCUUAAGUAAUCUACCAACUUCCUGAUGUUUUUCUUUAAUAUUUUGGAACUGUUCAAGACAGAAUGGAGCCUACAUAUAUGGUGUUCCACUAGUAUGUUGAAAAUGUCAUAUCAUGGAGAAUGGAGACACCUUCCAGGUGUCUGUUAAACCCAUCUUCUCUGUGUACUUCUGGCAUCUUUUUUGGUAGGAUCAUUUGGCAGGGGGUAGAGUACCUGUACUUUUGGCACCAUUGAAACCAGCUCUGGCCCACUUGUUUGAAUAGCUAUCAGACUCAGCGUCUCUAUAUGCUUUAUAUACAGUUGAGAGAACCAGUGUUUAAUGCUCUUGAAAUUGUAUCUUCCAUGCUUCAGACCAGAUGCAUUUAACAAAAUGGAUAUAUUCCAGCUGUAGUUGCCCAGUGUUUACUUAACACAUCUACAUUUUUUUCUUGUCUAUUUUGGUCCCCUUGAUAGGAAAAGCUAUAAUUUUAGGCAGGACUAUACGUCGAUUUGUAGCCAUGCUUCCUUCCUUUCCCUUGCUCAUCCAUGUUAGCUGGCAGUUUUUCUUUUGAAAAGUUAAAACCGGGAUAUGUGCAAUAGAAAUAUAUAUAUAUAUAUGUAUAUUUUAAUACUUGUGGACAAAUGUUACAAGUUGUUUAAGAACAACAAAAUCACCAAUGUCUUCCAUUUUGAGAUGUGUAUAGUUUUGUAAGCAUUAGUGCUUGGUAGCAUAUUGUAGUGCCAUGUUAGGGGUUAGUGCAUGAGUCUAGUGAUUUUAAACUUCAGGAUGAAUUAUUGAUAAUAACAAAUAGUGUAAAAAGAGUGGAAAAUCUAAACCUUUUCUUUUUCCAUAAUGUCUAAAUCUGUUAUAUUCUUCCUGGGGAAAAGAGAUUAAGGCCCAAAAGACUCAUUUAUGAAUAGAAAUGUGGGGUCAAAAUCUGAGAUACUAUAUUUGAGGACAUUUCAGCUUUCCAUAAGGUAUCUGGAAACCAGCUGUCUUUGUGUCUUAUGAAACCUCAAGUCAAAAUGAGACCGCAUUUAAUUAUUCUGCUUUGCUCUUUUUUUGGGGUGGGGGGGAGAUAGAGUUUCACUCUGUCACCCAGGCUGGAGUGCAGUGGCACAAUCUUUGCUCACUGUAACCUCUGCCUCUUGGGUUCAAGUGAUUCUCGUGCCCCAGCCUCCCGAGUAGCUGGGACUACAGGCACGUGCCACCACGCCCAGCUAAUUUUUAUAUUUUUAGUAGAGACGGGGUUUUGCUGUGUUGGCCAGGCUGGUCUCAAACUCCUGACCUCAAGUAAUCCACCUGGCCUGCUCUUUUCAUGUCUUAACAUGGCAUGUCUUUUAGUUUCAUUAUUUUCCUACUCCUUGUAUGUCAAGAAAUUACAUUUUGCAUGUCUUAUGGAGAUGCUGUUAAUUGCUUCAGUGAGUGCUUUUCUAAUCUGCAGACCAUUUACAUUUCCUGUUUGCAGCAUGCUGUGUGCAAACACUCAGUAAUUUGGAGUAUUCAAUUAUUUGUUAGGGCUCUUCCUAUUUCCAAAUGUGCUGAAUUGUCUAUUGAUGGGAUUUUCAGAUCUUUUCAUGAGAACUGGAAAUGUAGCUGGGUGGCACCUACCUAGGUUGCUACGUAGUGAGUAGACUUUCUCUUGGGUAUAGUAAGCCUCAGACAGCUUUCACUUUUAUCUACUUUACUUGUGGAAAUAAAACAGUCAUUUUGUUCUGAAAGAAUAAGAUAGCUUUCUGUAGAGAAGGAAUUCCUACCUCUAAAAGCUGCCUUGAGAACUCAGAACUGGCAGUUUUCUGAGGUGAUUUUUAAAUUUCAGUAUUAGGGAGAGUCCAGCAUUUGCUGACACAGAUUCUACAUAACUAAUGUAUGAUAGCAAAUGCAAAACUAUUAUAAUGUGGUGUAUCUUGCGCAUACACAGGUUAGAACAAGUAGACUCUGGCAGCA